GAUGGUAUAGCUCAGGGAUAGAGUGGUUGCCUAGCAUGCAUUAGGUCCUGGGUUCAACCCCCAGUACCUCCA
rnacentral:tRNA from 1 species